CCCCCCUUCACUAAAAAAAAAAUAAAAAUAAUAAUCCUAAUAAAAACAUCACCAUUCAUUCGCGCACCUUUAGGCACCCUCGCUUGAUAUUUUUUCUCCUCUCGCUCUCUUUCCAGUCCCCAUCCGCCCCCGGUCAAACCGACCCGUUCUCCCCCCGCCUCCCCCGCUUCUCCGCGUUAUCCCAGGUACAACCGGAUGACGGAAUCAAAGCCGGUUCCGAUUUACCCCCGUUGUCCUCCUGGGAGAGCUCGGAAGGCUCAGGGACGGCUCGAGGCCCACUCUGUUCUCCAGCCUCGUUACAUGGGUUUCUGUCUCUCCUCAGCAUCCCCUUGAAUGGCAUCUACUGCACGUGCUAUGUGACAGAUCCACACAAACAACAGAGGGGAAAGAGCCUCACUUAACUGAUUAGAGGAGAAAAGCAGUGAAAGGGAAUAUGCACAAAGCGCUGCCAAGUUCACAGAGCAAAGGAUAAGAUAAAAAAUUGAAUCAUUUCACUAUUUUUUUU
rnacentral:lncRNA from 1 species